CCUGAUUAAUGGGCUGACAGGAAGCUAGUUCAGCAGGGGCUGGAGGAGAGCUUUGUCUCAAGUUCCUGUUCAGAGGCACGUUCAUUUCCUGGGGGCUCACUCACUCCUGUCUCAGCCUCCAGAAGCCCAGACUGUCUGUCCUGGAAGAGGAUGUUCCCCUCUCCUUGCCUUAUGUUGCCGGCCUCCUGACAACCUCAUCAGGCAGGCAGUCGGUUCCUAUUUUUACAGGACCUGGCAGCAGAGAAGAGUCAGGCUGAGAGAGCUGGGGAACAUGUCCGAGGCUGCAGCCACACAGAGGCAGAGCUGGGGCUUGUCCUGGGGUCUUCUAAGCAGGCUUCCUACCCAGGGUCUCCAGGGUGAAAGUGCAGGUUGAAAUGGGCAGGCAUCAGCUGGAGGGGGCCUCCCAGACCAGUUCCAAUGACCCCUCCUCCUGUGGAUGGAAAGACUGAGGCCCAAAGAAGGCAAUGAGAUUAUCCCGGAUUCCAAGCAAGUUAUUUUCAUGCCACAUGAGGUCCUAGGGAUGGGGGAACCACUGUGAAUAAAAGGACAAGAUUCUGGUCUGGUGGAGCUCUUAUGACUGGGGGAACAGCAGUGCAGGACAUCUAGGACUUCAACAAGGGAAUUAUGAUGGCUUCUAAUUACCCAGAGCAGCCCUUAGCCCCACCUAUGAAUAUUCUGGAAAGCUUUCUGAGGAGGUGAUUUCUGAGAAUUGAAGGGUAGCAGGAGAUAGGCAGAGAAGUACCAGUGGGGGAAGACUGCUCCAAGCAUGGGAGUUUUGCUCAUCCUCUGCUACCCAGGAAACCAUUAGAGAUUCAAGUGGUGACGUAUACUGGUUUACACAUGCCAGGUGAAAUACAAGACAUCCAGUCAAUUGAAAUUUCAGGUAGAUAGCAAUAAAUACACUUUAAUAUAAGUAUAUCCCAUGUUGAUAUGGUUUCUCUGUGUCCCCACCCAAAUCUCACCUUGAAUUGUACUCCCAUAAUUCCCAUGUGUUGUGAGAGGGACCUGGUGGGAGAUAAUUUGAAUCAUGUGGGCAGUUUCCCUCAUACUGUUCU
rnacentral:lncRNA from 1 species